rnacentral:rRNA from 1 species
GCUACAGGCUUAACACAUGCAAGUCGAGGGGCAGCAUUUUAGUUUGCUUGCAAACUGAAGAUGGCGACCGGCGCACGGGUGAGUAACACGUAUCCAACCUGCCGAUAACUCCGGAAUAGCCUUUCGAAAGAAAGAUUAAUACCGGAUAGCAUACGAAUAUCGCAUGAUAUUUUUAUUAAAGAAUUUCGGUUAUCGAUGGGGAUGCGUUCCAUUAGUUUGUUGGCGGGGUAACGGCCCACCAAGACUACGAUGGAUAGGGGUUCUGAGAGGAAGGUCCCCCACAUUGGAACUGAGACACGGUCCAAACUCCUACGGGAGGCAGCAGUGAGGAAUAUUGGUCAAUGGGCGAGAGCCUGAACCAGCCAAGUAGCGUGAAGGAUGAAGGCUCUAUGGGUCGUAAACUUCUUUUAUAUGGGAAUAAAGUUUUCCACGUGUGGAAUUUUGUAUGUACCAUAUGAAUAAGGAUCGGCUAACUCCGUGCCAGCAGCCGCGGUAAUACGGAGGAUCCGAGCGUUAUCCGGAUUUAUUGGGUUUAAAGGGAGCGUAGGUGGAUUGUUAAGUCAGUUGUGAAAGUUUGCGGCUCAACCGUAAAAUUGCAGUUGAAACUGGCAGUCUUGAGUACAGUAGAGGUGGGCGGAAUUCGUGGUGUAGCGGUGAAAUGCUUAGAUAUCACGAAGAACUCCGAUUGCGAAGGCAGCUCACUAGACUGUCACUGACACUGAUGCUCGAAAGUGUGGGUAUCAAACAGGAUUAGAUACCCUGGUAGUCCACACAGUAAACGAUGAAUACUCGCUGUUUGCGAUAUACAGUAAGCGGCCAAGCGAAAGCAUUAAGUAUUCCACCUGGGGAGUACGCCGGCAACGGUGAAACUCAAAGGAAUUGACGGGGGCCCGCACAAGCGGAGGAACAUGUGGUUUAAUUCGAUGAUACGCGAGGAACCUUACCCGGGCUUAAAUUGCAACAGAAUAUAUUGGAAACAGUAUAGCCGUAAGGCUGUUGUGAAGGUGCUGCAUGGUUGUCGUCAGCUCGUGCCGUGAGGUGUCGGCUUAAGUGCCAUAACGAGCGCAACCCUUAUCUUUAGUUACUAACAGGUCAUGCUGAGGACUCUAGAGAGACUGCCGUCGUAAGAUGUGAGGAAGGUGGGGAUGACGUCAAAUCAGCACGGCCCUUACGUCCGGGGCUACACACGUGUUACAAUGGGGGGUACAGAAGGCGGCUACCUGGUGACAGGAUGCUAAUCCCAAAAACCUCUCUCAGUUCGGAUCGAAGUCUGCAACCCGACUUCGUGAAGCUGGAUUCGCUAGUAAUCGCGCAUCAGCCAUGGCGCGGUGAAUACGUUCCCGGGCCUUGUACACACCGCCCGUCAAGCCAUGAAAGCCGGGGGUACCUGAAGUACGUAACCGCAAGGAGCGUCCUAGGGUAAAACUGGUAAUUGGGGCUAAGUCAUAACA